UUGGAGGGCAAGUCUGGUGCCAGCAGCCGCGGUAAUUCCAGCUCCAAUAGCGUAUAUUAAAGUUGUUGUGGUUAAAAAGCUCGUAGUUGAACCUUGGGCCUGGCUGGCCGGUCCGCCUCACCGCGUGUACUGGUCCGGCCGGGUCUUUCCCUCUGUGGAACCCCAUGCCCUUCACUGGGUGUGGCGGGGAAACAGGACUUUUACUUGAAAAAACUUAGAGUGCUCCAGGCAGGCCUAUGCUCGAAUACAUUAGCAUGGAAUAAUAGAAUAGGACGUGCGG
rnacentral:rRNA from 1 species